AGAGUUUGAUCCUGGCUCAGAAUCAACGCUGGCGGCGUGCUUAACACAUGCAAGUCGAACGAGAAAGUGGAGCAAUCCAUGAGUAAAGUGGCGACCGGGUGAGUAACACGUGACUAACCUACCUCCGAGUGGGGAAUAACUCCGGGAAACCGGGGCUAAUACCGCAUAACAUCGCAAGAUCAAAGCAGCAAUGCGCUUGGAGAGGGGGUCGCGGCUGAUUAGCUAGUUGGCGGGGUAACGGCCCACCAAGGCGAAGAUCGGUAUCCGGCCUGAGGGGGCGCACGGACACACUGGAACUGAAACACGGUCCAGACUCCUACGGGAGGCAGCAGUGGGGAAUUUUGCGCAAUGGGGGAAACCCUGACGCAGCAACGCCGCGUGGAGGAUGAAGCCCCUUGGGGCGUAAACUCCUUUCGACCAAGACGAUAAUGACGGUACUGGUGGAAGAAGCACCGGCUAACUCUGUGCCAGCAGCCGCGGUAAUACAGAGGGUGCGAGCGUUGUUCGGAAUUAUUGGGCGUAAAGGGCGCGUAGGCGGUGCCACAAGUCACUUGUGAAAUCCCCGGGCUUAACCCGGGGCCUGCAGGCGAAACUGUGGUGCUGGAGUAUGGGAGAGGUGCGUGGAAUUCCCGGUGUAGCAGUGAAAUGCGUAGAUAUCGGGAGGAACACCUGUGGCGAAAGCGGCGCACUGGACCAUAACUGACGCUGAGGCGCGAAAGCUAGGGGAGCAAACAGGAUUAGAUACCCUAGUAGUCC
rnacentral:rRNA from 1 species